UACGGAGGUGGCAAGCGUUGCUCGGAAUCACUGGGCGUAAAGGGCGCGUAGGCGGGGCGGCAAGUCGGGUGUGAAAUCCCUCGGCCCAACCGAGGAACUGCGCCCGAGACUGCUUCUCUUGAGUCCCGGAGAGGAAGGUGGAAUUCCCGGUGUAGCGGUGAAAUGUGUAGAGAUCGGGAGGAACACCGGUGGCGAAGGCGGCCUUCUGGACGGUGACUGACGCUGAGGCGCGAAAGCGUGGGGAGCAAACGGG
rnacentral:rRNA from 1 species